rnacentral:rRNA from 1 species
GACGAACGCUGGCGGCGUGCUUAACACAUGCAAGUCGAACGGAAAGGCCCUGCUUUUGUGGGGUGCUCGAGUGGCGAACGGGUGAGUAACACGUGAGUAACAUGCCCUUGACUUUGGGAUAACUUCAGGAAACUGGGGCUCAUACCGGAUAGGAGCUCUUGCUGCAUGGUGGGGGUUGGAAAGUUUCGGCGGUUGGGGAUGGACUCGCGGCUUAUCCGCUUGUUGGUGGGGUAGUGGAUUACCCAGGCUUUGACGGGUAGGCGGCCUGGGAAGGUUACCGGCCACAUUGGGACUGAGGGAGGGCGCAGAAUCCAACGGGAGGCAACAGGGGGGAAUAUGACGCAAUGGGGGGGAGCCAGUGGCAGAAACGCCGGGAGCGGAAUGACGGCCUUCUGGUGGUAAACCGCUUUCGCCGGAGACGAAGCGAGAGUGACGGUAAUGGGUAAAGAAGCACCGGCUAACUACGUG